AUAAAAGAUACUGCUGUGCAGACCUUUCAGUGUGGAUAGAGAUCCCAUGUAAACGCACAUAAACAGCUUUUUUUAUAAAUGACUCAGCUUUAUGUGGACAGUAGUCUCAGAUGAAUGGAACAUGCACUGAAUACAUAUGAAGAAAGACUGCAGAAUGGAUUACAAACACAGGACCAUAUCUAUCAUAUCAUACACAACCAGUGGUUUCCAGUGAAGUGACCGGCUGUCUUCUGUCAGAAUUACGAUAUGAUUGUCACUGACUCCAGCCUGAUGACACAUCACAGCUGACCAGAGGAGCAUGAGGGUUAAAAGCCUGACCUGCUCAUCAGUUUCAAGUCUGCUUUCCUGGCUAAUGACUUGUGGUUCUGCACUCUUCUUAAACUCUAGAUCUUCCUAAAUGGACACACUGGAC